rnacentral:rRNA from 1 species
AUUGAACGCUGGCGGCAGGCCUAACACAUGCAAGUCGAACGAGUGGCGGACGGGUGAGUAAUGUCUGGGAAACUGCCUGAUGGAGGGGGAUAACUACUGGAAACGGUAGCUAAUACCGCAUCCCAUCGGAUGUCCCCCGUUGGGAUUAGCUAGUAGGUGGGGUAAAGGCUCACCUAGGCGACGAUCCCUGGCUGGUCUUAGAGGAGGACCAGCCACACUGGAACUGAGACACGGUCCAGACUCCCACGGGCGGCAGCAGGGGGGAAUAUUGAACAAUGGGCGAAAGCCUGAUGCAGCCAUGCCCCGUGUAUGAAGAAGGCCUUCGGGUUUUAAAGUACUUUCAGCGGGGAGGCGUUACCCGCAGAAGAAGCACCGGCUAACUCCGUGCCAGCAGCCGCGGUAAUAC